rnacentral:rRNA from 1 species
CCCGCUCAGAAACUUAAAGGAAUUGACGGGGGCCCGCACAAGCGGUGGAGCAUGUGGUUUAAUUCGAUGAUACGCGAGGAACCUUACCUGGGCUCAAAUGUAUGUUGACGUAUUCUGAAAGGGAUACUUCUUCGGACAAUAUACAAGGUGCUGCAUGGUUGUCGUCAGCUCGUGCCGUGAGGUGUCGGGUUAAGUCCCAUAACGAGCGCAACCCCUAUCAUUAGUUGCCAUCAGGUCAAGCUGGGGACUCUAAUGAAACUGCCUACGCAAGUAGUGAGGAAGGUGGGGAUGACGUCAAAUCAGCACGGCCCUUACGUCCAGGGCUACACACGUGCUACAAUGGCCGGUACAAAGGGCAGCUACCUGGUGACAGGAUGCUAAUCUCAAAAGCCGGUCUCAGUUCGGAUCGGAGUCUGCAACCCGACUCCGUGAAGCUGGAAUCGCUGGUAAUCGCGCAUCAGCCAUGGCGCGGUGAAUACGUUCCCGGGCCUU